rfam:Mus musculus chromosome 4, GRC primary reference assembly.
UUCUCCCUGGGAAUGGAUAAAGAGACACCUUGUUGGCUGAGUUGGUCUUAUAUCAGUCAGGAGCAGAGCAGAAGGCAGUGCUUUGUACAUCCUAGCUUGAUGCCUGGCUUGGUGGCCAAAGCUCUCUAUGCCUAGGACUCAUAA